CUUACGGAGAGUUUGAUCCUGGCUCAGGAUGAACGCUGGCGGCGUGCCUAACACAUGCAAGUCGAACGAGGCCCCAUGUACUUGUACAAGGGUGACCUAGUGGCGAACGGGUGAGUAACGCGUAGGUGACCUACCCCGAAGUGAGGGAUAGCCCCGGGAAACUGGGGGUAAUACCUCAUGUGAUCAGGGUUUUCAGAAAGCCCUGAUGAAAGGAGUAAUCCGCUUUGGGAGGGGCCUGCGACCCAUCAGCUAGUUGGUAAGGUAAUGGCUUACCAAGGCUAUGACGGGUAGGGGGCCUGAGAGGGUGGCCCCCCACAAUGGAACUGAAACACGGUCCAUACAUCUACGGAUGGCAGCAGUGGGGAAUAUUGCACAAUGGGCGAAAGCCUGAUGCAGCAACGCCGCGUGCGCGAUGAAGGCCUUCGGGUUGUAAAGCGCUUUUCUGAGG
rnacentral:rRNA from 1 species